CCCUUCGGGGUGUGACUGCGUACCUUUUGUAUAAUGGGUCAGCGACUUAUAUUCUGUAGCAAGGUUAACCGUAUAGGGGAGCCGGAGGGAAACCGAGUCUUAAUUGGGCGUUAAGUUGCAGGGUAUAGACCCGAAACCCGGUGAUCUAGCCAUGGGCAGGUUGAAGGUUGGGUAACACUAACUGGAGGACCGAACCGACUAAUGUUGAAAAAUUAGCGGAUGACCUGUGGCUGGGGGUGAAAGGCCAAUCAAACCGGGAGAUAGCUGGUUCUCCCCGAAAGCUAUUUAGGUAGCGCCUCGUGAAUUCAUCUCCGGGGGUAGAGCACUGUUUCGGCUAGGGGGCCAUCCCGGCUUACCAACCCGAUGCAAACUGCGAAUACCGGAGAAUGUUAUCACGGGAGACACACGGCGGGUGCUAACGUCCGUCGUGAAGAGGGAAACAACCCAGACCGCCAGCUAAGGUCCCAAAGUCAUGGUUAAGUGGGAAACGAUGUGGGAAGGCCCAGACAGCCAGGAUGUUGGCUUAGAAGCAGCCAUCAUUUAAAGAAAGCGUAAUAGCUCACUGGUCGAGUCGGCCUGCGCGGAAGAUGUAACGGGGCUAAACCAUGCACCGAAGCUGCGGCAGCGAACGUAUCACCCAAGACAACUUUACGGAGUUGACGAUUGACGGAGCGAAGCGACGUCAAAGCGUUCAUUAAAGUCGAGUUGGCUUAGGGAUACGUUCGUUGGGUAGGGGAGCGUUCUGUAAGCCUGUGAAGGUGUGUCGUGAGGCAUGCUGGAGGUAUCAGAAGUGCGAAUGCUGACAUAAGUAACGAUAAAGCGGGUGAAAAGCCCGCUCGCCGGAAGACCAAGGGUUCCUGUCCAACGUUAAUCGGGGCAGGGUGAGUCGACCCCUAAGGCGAGGCCGAAAGGCGUAGUCGAUGGGAAACGGGUUAAUAUUCCCGUACUUGGUGUUACUGCGAAGGGGGGACGGAGAAGGCUAUGUUGGCCGGGCGACGGUUGUCCCGGUUUAAGCGUGUAGGUGUGUGUUCCAGGUAAAUCCGGUUCACUUUAACACUGAGGCGUGACGACGAGGCACUACGGUGCUGAAGCAACAAAUGCCCUGCUUCCAGGAAAAGCCUCUAAGCAUCAGGUAACACGAAAUCGUACCCCAAACCGACACAGGUGGUCAGGUAGAGAAUACCAAGGCGCUUGAGAGAACUCGGGUGAAGGAACUAGGCAAAAUGGUGCCGUAACUUCGGGAGAAGGCACGCUGACACGUAGGUGAAGUGAUUUACUCAUGGAGCUGAAGUCAGUCGAAGAUACCAGCUGGCUGCAACUGUUUAUUAAAAACACAGCACUGUGCAAACACGAAAGUGGACGUAUACGGUGUGACGCCUGCCCGGUGCCGGAA
rnacentral:rRNA from 2 species